rnacentral:rRNA from 1 species
UACGUAGGGACCGAGCGUUGUCCGGAUUCAUUGGGCGUAAAGAGCUCGUAGGCGGCCACUCAAGUCGAAUGUGAAACCUCGAGGCUCAACCUCGAGCCUGCAUUCGAUACGGGCAGACUCGAGUGUGGUAGGGGAGACUGGAACUCCUGGUGUAGCGGUGAAAUGCGCAGAUAUCAGGAAGAACACCGGUGGCGAAGGCGGGUCUCUGGGCCACUACUGACGCUGAGGAGCGAAAGCGUGGGGAGCGAACAGG